GCUGAUUUUGUGAAAUUUCCGCUUGAGAAAGCUGGAGGAAUGAUUGCAAUGAUAGAUGUGUACUGUCUUUUUAAUCGUGCUAGAGGAACAGAAUUAAUCUCACCCGAGGAUCUUUUGCAAGCCUGCGCUCUUUGGGAAAAAUAUGAAGUGUAUGAACAACAGAACCUUCCAUCUUUUUCAGUCCAGUAAUGCUUAGAAAGUUUGAUAGUGGAGUAAUGGUCAUUCAGAGCAAGGCCCACAGUGACCAGGAGGUU